UACGGAGGGUGCAAGCGUUGCUCGGAAUCACUGGGCGUAAAGAGCGUGUAGGCGGUUUCGUAUGUCUGACGUGAAAGCCCCGGGCUCACCCCGGGAAGUGCGUUGGAAACUGCGAGACUAGAGUCCCGGAGAGGAAGGUGGAAUUCCAGGUGUAGCGGUGAAAUGCGUAGAUAUCUGGAAGAACACCGGUGGCGAAGGCGGCCUUCUGGACGGUGACUGACGCUGAGACGCGAAAGCGUGGGGAGCAAACAGGAUUAGAAACCCCCGUAGUCC
rnacentral:rRNA from 1 species